AUGCACGCUGGCGGCGUGCUUCACACAUGCAAGUCGAACGGGAAACCUUUUAAUGAAGCUUCGGCAGAUUUAGCUGGUUUCUAGUGGCGGACGGGUGAGUAACGCGUGGGUAACCUGCCUUAUACAGGGGGAUAACAGUCAGAAAUGACUGCUAAUACCGCAUAAGCGCACAGGACCGCAUGGUCCGGUGUGAAAAACUCCGGUGGUAUAAGAUGGACCCGCGUUGGAUUAGCUUGUUGGUGGGGUAACGGCUCACCAAGGCGACGAUCCAUAGCCGGCCUGAGAGGGUGAACGGCCACAUUGGGACUGAGACACGGCCCAGACUCCUACGGGAGGCAGCAGUGGGGAAUAUUGCACAAUGGGGGAAACCCUGAUGCAGCGACGCCGCGUGAAGGAAGAAGUAUCUCGGUAUGUAAACUUCUAUCAGCAGGGAAGAUAGUGACGGUACCUGACUAAGAAGCCCCGGCUAACUACGUG
rnacentral:rRNA from 1 species